rnacentral:rRNA from 1 species
GACGAACGCUGGCGGCGUGCCUAACACAUGCAAGUCGAACGAAGCAUAGCAAUAUGCUUAGUGGCGGACGGGUGAGUAACGCGUGAACAAUCUGCCCUGUACAAAGGAAUAGCCUCGGGAAACCGGGAUUAAAACCGUAUGACACUUUAGUAUCGCAUGAUAAGAAAGUCAAAUCGAUUAGAGGUAUGGGAUGAGUUCGCGUCUGAUUAGCUGGUUGGCGGGGUAACGGCCCACCAAGGCGACGAUCAGUAGCCGGCCUGAGAGGGUGAACGGCCACACUGGAACUGAGACACGGUCCAGACUCCUACGGGAGGCAGCAGUGGGGAAUAUUGCACAAUGGAGGGAACUCUGAUGCAGCGACGCCGCGUGAGUGAAGAAGGUCUUCGGAUCGUAAAACUCUGUCCUUGGUGAAGAAAAGGACGGUAGCCAAGGAGGAAGCCCCGGCUAACUACGUGCCAGCAGCCGCGGUAAGACGUAGCGUG